UAGGAUUAAAACGCAACUGAGCUGUCAUAUGCCCAUGCUGCGCUUAAGCCCACCCUAAAAAUGAUCCUAGCACCCACGAUCGAUUGCACCCCCACGAAAGCUAAGAUCCAAACUGGGAUUAGAUACCCCACUAUGCUUAGCCCUAAAUCUUGGUGCUUACUUUACCAAAGCACCCGCCUGGGGACUACGAGCGCAAACGCUUAAAACUCUAAGGACUUGGCGGUGCCCUAAACCCACCUAGAGGAGCCUGUUCUAUAAUCGAUAAUCCACGAUACACCCAACCGCCCCUCGCCAAAGCAGCCUACAUACCGCCGUCGCCAGCCCACCUCGCCUGAGAGCACAUCAGUGGACACAACAGCCCAACCCGCUAGCAAGACAGGUCAAGGUAUAGCCUAUGGGAGCGGAAGAAWUGGGCUACAUUUUCUAAGUUAGAAAACUCCCACGGAAGGGAGUGUGAAAUCACACCCGGAAGGCGGAUUUAGCAGUAAAGCGGGACAAUAAAGCCCUCUUUAAGUUGGCCCUGGGGCACGUACAUACCGCCCGUCACCCUCC
rnacentral:rRNA from 1 species